rnacentral:rRNA from 1 species
UACGGGGGGGGCAAGCGUUGUUCGGAAUUACUGGGCGUAAAGGGCUCGUAGGCGGCCAACUAAGUCAGACGUGAAAUCCCUCGGCUUAACCGGGGAACUGCGUCUGAUACUGGAUGGCUUGAGUUUGGGAGAGGGAUGCGGAAUUCCAGGUGUAGCGGUGAAAUGCGUAGAUAUCGGGAGGAACACCAGUGGCGAAGGCGACUUCCUGGCCUGUUCUUGACGCUGAGGCGCGAAAGCUAGGGUAGCAAACGGG